CCGAGUCGGCAUUUAGCACAAGUGGACGUAUCUUAGAGCCUCACCGUAGCUGUUUAACUCAUAACAUGAUAGAAGUGCUUAUGUGCCUUGAGCAAUGGUUGAAGUGUGAAGUUCGGUUGAAUGAAAGAGGGAUUAUUACAAAGGAAGAAAUGCUUGCUGACAUUGAAUUGCAAGAUGAACUUGAGAGAGAUAUUGAAUCUCAAUGCAACUUCAACCUCUAAAAUCAGUAGUCUUCCGGUUAUAAGGAAAAUGGCGAAGUUUUGAAGAGUUGAAGACUCUUCUUAAGUUAUCUUUUUCAUUGUGUUCUUCUUCUCUUUUUAGUUGU